rnacentral:pre_miRNA from 1 species
UUAAGUCAAAUUUGUAUGGAGUUUGAACGUUUGUCUACGUUUGCCGCUAGGGGCGCUGUUCCAAAUGUAUACAAAGAGUAA